AUACAGAGGGUGCGAGCGUUAAUCGGAAUUACUGGGCGUAAAGCGCGCGUAGGCGGCUUGGUCAGUCGGAUGUGAAAGCCCCGGGCUUAACCUGGGAAUUGCAUUCGAUACUGCCAGGCUAGAAUGUAGUAGAGGGAAGUGGAAUUCAGGGUGUAGCGGUGAAAUGCGUAGAGAUCCUGAGGAACAUCAGUGGCGAAGGCGACUUCCUGGACUAACAUUGACGCUGAGGUGCGAAAGCGUGGGGAGCAAACAGAAUUAGAAACCCCAGUAGUCC
rnacentral:rRNA from 1 species